UACGGAGGGUGCAAGCGUUAUCCGGAUUUAUUGGGUUUAAAGGGUCCGUAGGCGGAUCUGUAAGUCAGUGGUGAAAUCUCACAGCUUAACUGUGAAACUGCCAUUGAUACUGCAGGUCUUGAGUGUUAUUGAAGUAGCUGGAAUAAGUAGUGUAGCGGUGAAAUGCAUAGAUAUUACUUAGAACCCCAAUUGCGAGGGCAGGUUACUGAGCAACAACUGACGCUGAUGGACGAAAGCGUGGGGAGCGAACAGG
rnacentral:rRNA from 1 species